UACGUAGGGUGCAGGCGUUAAUCGGAAUUACUGGGCGUAAAGCGUGCGCAGGCGGUUUGCUAAGACAGGUGUGAAAUCCCCGGGCUUAGCCUGGGAACUGCGCUUGUAACUGGCAAGCUUGAGUGUGGCAGAGGGGGGUGGAAUUCCACGUGUAGCAGUGAAAUGCGUAGAGAUGUGGAGGAACACCGAUGGCGAAGGCAGCCCCCUGGGCUAACACUGACGCUCAUGCACGAAAGCGUGGGGAGCAAACAGG
rnacentral:rRNA from 1 species